rnacentral:rRNA from 1 species
ACAUGCCUACAACAUAGCGUUAAUGCACUGGAUCCCAUUAUAACUUUGCAGUUAAGCAUGCUCGAGCUAGAGUAGUACUGGGAUGGGUGACUGCUCGGGAAGUCCUAGUAUUUUUCAUGCC